AUAGCCUCAGGCGCUCGAGAGAACCUUACGUGAAGGAACUAGGCAAAUUAACCCCGUAAGUUCGCGAUAAGGGGAGCCACCGCAAGGUGGCCGCAGGAAAACGAUGGCUGCGACUGUUUACUAAAAACACAGGUCUCUGCGAAGUCGUCGAAGACGACGUAUAGAGACUGACGCUUGCCCGCUGUUGGAACGUUAAGAUGAGUGGUUAGAGCAAUCGAAGCUGCGAGUCGAAGCGCCAAUGAAGGGCGGCCGUAACAAUGACGGUCCUAAGGUAGCGAAAUU
rnacentral:rRNA from 1 species